rnacentral:rRNA from 1 species
GACGGAGGGGGCAAGCGUUGUCCGGACUCACUGGGCGUAAAGGGUCCGUAGGCGGUUCUGUGCGUCGGUGCUGAAAGCGCCCGGCUUAACCGGGCGAGGCGUGCCGAUACGACAGAACUCGAGGCAGGCAGAAGAUGGCGGAAUUCCGGGUGUAGUGGUGAAAUGCGUAGAGAUCCGGAGGAACGCCGGUGGCGCAAGCGGCCAUCUGGGCCUGACCUGACGCUGAGGGACGAAAGCGUGGGGAGCGAAC